rnacentral:lncRNA from 1 species
AUACCAGUAUCAUAAAGUCACCCCAGGAAAACAUGUGAGAAAAGUGGCUUACCAGAGUUAAAGGGUCAGUGUCUGUCCUUAUUUGCACACUCUCCAUCUAUCCAUUAUAUUUAUUAUUAGAGUGGUUGCUGAGACAACCAGAGAGGUAUGAGGUCCGUCUAACCUCUUUAAUCAAGGUCUGGCACAGUAUAUAUGGUCCAGGAGAUCCCAAUGAAGCUUUUAAUUUUCACACUCUUUUAAUCUACUUUCUGGGUAUGGACUGAGGGAAGAAUUUCUCAUGCUUCCACAGAGCCAGAAGAACCUCCAUGGUACAAGGGAGCAGUUUGUUUCAAAAUCUCAUAAGAAGCAUGUUACAGAAAUUGCUCACAGAAUGCGAGGAGAACUUCACAUGAGAUAGAGAAGUAAAUUCUCAGUGUUCAAGGGCUUGGGGGGAUAAUAUAGCCUCUCCAAAUUAGACUCUUUGAUAUUGAAAUAGCUUUCAUGUGUGACAGGAGAGAACUAACCAUCUUCCUUCAAAAUAAUUGAUCACUGGCCACUUACUGUUCCAGCUGUCACGAACUGCCCUCUGUUUUGGCUUAAAAACAAAACUUAUCUGGAUUUAGACUGUUGGAGCUUAAAAAAGUAAUGAUCCAGAUCAGUAACCUCUUGGUAUUUCACUGCCAUGGAAGCAUCAUUAGUCAUUCACUGGUGGCAGAUUUUAGAGUUAGCCACAUAAUUUUGGCAUGCUAGUUGCUGCAGAGGACUUCAGGGCUCUUCUGUGGAACAUCAGGGCUGUAGCACACAGUGAUGAUUCACCUAAAACAGCUUUCUGUCAUUCUUAGCUCAUAUUUGGGUAAAACUGGAGCUCAGAGAAAUGUGAAGCAGGUAGAAGUUUCAGUGUCAGUAUUAUAGGAUUGUCAAUGAAGGAGAUUGGGAGUCCCACCUCUUAGCAGACCUAAUCUUGCUGUGACCAGCCUAAGGCAUCCUUCUCCUAGGUGCUGCUAAUAUUUUCCACUGUCUGGGUCUCUCUGCUGAGUCCAUAAAUACUCAAAGUGGCAACAUAAUG